rnacentral:misc_RNA from 1 species
AAGUCGUAACAAGGUUUCCGUAGGUGAACCUGCGGAAGGAUCAUUAUUGAAUUUUAAUGAAGAGUUUGGUUGUAGCUGGUCUAUUUAUUUAGGCAUGUGCACACCUUUCUCUUUCAUCCCACACACACCUGUGAACUUGUGAGACAGUUGGGGAAUUUAUUUGUUAUUUUUUGUAAUAAAAUUAUAAUAAGUCAUUGAACCCUUCUGUCUACUCAACUCAUAUAAACUCAAUUUAUUUUAAAUGAAUGUAAUGGAUGUAACACAUCUCAUACUAAGUUUCAACAACGGAUCUCUUGGCUCUC